rnacentral:rRNA from 1 species
AUUGAACGCUGGCGGCAUGCCUUACACAUGCAAGUCGAACGGCAGCGGACCUUCGGGUGCCGGCGAGUGGCGAACGGGUGAGUAAAGUAUCGGAACGUACCUUUCAGUGGGGGAUAACGUAGCGAAAGUUACGCUAAUACCGCAUAUUCUCUGAGGAGGAAAGCAGGGGACCUUCGGGCCUUGCGCUGAUGGAGCGGCCGAUAUCAGAUUAGCUAGUUGGUGGGGUAAAGGCCUACCAAGGCGACGAUCUGUAGCGGGUCUGAGAGGAUGAUCCGCCACACUGGGACUGAGACACGGCCCAGACUCCUACGGGAGGCAGCAGUGGGGAAUUUUGGACAAUGGGCGAGAGCCUGAUCCAGCCAUGCCGCGUGAGUGAAGAAGGCCUUCGGGUUGUAAAGCUCUUUCGGCCGGGAAGAAAUCGUGUGGGCUAAUACCCUGCAUGGAUGACGGUACCGGAAUAAGAAGCACCGGCUAACUACGUGCCAGCCGCCGCAGUAACAC